rnacentral:rRNA from 1 species
ACGGGAGGCAGCAGUGAGGAAUAUUGGUCAAUGGGCGGGAGCCUGAACCAGCCAAGUAGCGUGGAGGAUGACGGCCCUACGGGUUGUAAACUCCUUUUGCCGGGGGAUAAAAAACGGGACGUGUCCCGUCUUGCAGGUACCCGCGCGAAUAAGGACCGGCUAAUUCCGUGCCAGCAGCCGCGGUAAUACGGAAGGUCCGAGCGUUAUCCGGAUUUAUUGGGUUUAAAGGGAGCGUAGGCGGGCCUUUAAGUCAGUGGUCAAAGCGUGUGGCUCAACCAUACCACGCCGUUGAUACUGGAGGCCUUGAGUGCACAUAAGGAUGGUGGAAUUCAUGGUGUAGCGGUGAAAUGCUUAGAUAUCAUGAAGAACUCCGAUUGCGAAGGCAGCUGUCCGGGGUGUAACUGACGCUAAUGCUCGAAAGUGCGGGUAUCAAACAGGAUUAGAUACCCUGGUA